GGCAGGGUCUGGACCAAAGAAUGAAAACAAGUUUAGUUUUAAAUAAAACGUCAGGAAGAGGAUUGCAAAACAAAGUGCAGUGGAAAUAUUGGCUUCUCAACUCUUUCACAUAUUCAGCAUUUAAGGGACAUAGUCUUUCUCUGGGGGUGCUGGAACCCAAAACACCUGGAUUCCAGGGGCUUGUGCUAAUACUGGUUACCUUAGAGCCUCUCUCUUUCCCUCAGUGAAACAGCACAUUCCUGUUCAUUUCCUGAUGGAGAGCUCCCAGGAGUUGGAACAAGAUGUUUUCGAUGGAUGCCCUUUAUCUUUGGAAUCCCUUCCUUCCUGGACUGGCAGAAUCUAAAUCUCUUGUCCUUCCACAAAGCCUGUUCCAAGGGGAGUUUAACCCACCGAAAGAGGAAUGCACAGAUGGAAAGCCUGUAGGAGUGGAUUCGAAAGGCCCGACUAAGACAAAUCCAGGCAUCAAAUAAACCAGUGGCUAAAGAUGUGCCAGGUGGUGCUCUUGAUAAACAACAAGUUCUAAUACGAGAUUUCCUCCUGGAACUCCAGCUCCUUUUUUCUGGCUGAUGACCGAGGUGGGAGGAAACUUGGCUGUGCCUUCUAGACACUUUUCCUUUGAUAGCUCAUCUCCAUUCUGCAUAGAGUGACAGGAGAAGAGAAUGAAUUAAUGCCUCAAUCCAGUGACCGACUUCCUUGUUUCUAAGUUCCAUGAGAGACAGUGGAAUGCACUGGAGCCUGAAGUUCUGAUGGAGAUCACCUUUGACACUUACUAUGUAGCUUUGGCUAGUUUCUUCACCGAUGCAAGAAGCACUGAUUAGGGGCCAGCCCCGUGGCCGAGUGGUUAAGCGCCUUUCAUGUCUGCAUUUACCUGUGUACCACCACUCCAUUACCUGCAGAACAAAGCAAGCGGAGAUGCCAAGGUCUCACUGUGGGGACACCUGUGCUGCUCUCACCUGCAAAUGGGUUCGCCUGCCCAGCCACUGCAGAAUUCGACUUCUCCAAGCAAAACACAUUUUUUUCAAAGCGUUGGCUCUCUGCACAGUUGGAUGACAGAUCUUCCAAACACGGAGCAUCAGGGUAAUUAGCACGGCCUCCGAAGCCUCCUCUUCUUCAUUCAGGAAGCAAGGAAAUAAGGCCCUGCACCUGGGCUGGGAAGAUGCAAAACUAGUACUGCUCUGGAGCACUUCUCCACCUCCAGGAAUUCCUCCGAGGACCUCGAAUGGCUGGUCUCCACCCCCACCCCCACCGCCUGCCUUUGACAAGAUGGCAUCCAAGUGCAGCUUCAUAGCCUUAUGGAGGCAAGAGGAGCCUUUGGUACACAGAUGAUGAGCAAACUGAGGCACAGCGAGGUUAAGAACCUGCUAUGAAAUGGCAGAGCUGGGAUUCAAGCUCAGGCAGUCAGACAUUGGCGCCCACCUCUUCAUCGUUACGUAUGCACAGGGCGUACUGCAGACCACAUAGGGGUGGCAUCAUAACCCAGCUUUGGGGGGUUGAGGAAGGCUUCCCAAGGAGGUGAUUUCUAAGCAGAAUUGUAAAAGACCAAUAGGAACAGAGUCAGACAAAGAGACUGAGGAAGGGCUUUCUUAGAAGGAUUUGCAAGAUCGCCUACUGAGUUCCAGGCAUUACGCUAAGAGCAAGAAAUACAAAGAAAUGAAACAUGCUCCUUGACUUAUAGAUGGAAAUUUAGGCAAAUUGUUGGAACAAAGUGUGUCAAGGGAUAGUCUAGAUGUGCAUAAGAUGCUAUAGGGAGAUAGAGGAAGCAGGAAUCGAGCCAAGGGAAAUAGUUCCAUGAGGGCUUCCCAGGGGAGGUGGCAUCUGAGUUAAAUCUUGAAGGAUGAGUAAGAGUUUGCUAGACAAACCAGAAUUGGGAGGGACAUUUCUGGCAGAGGGAAUCACACGUGCAGUGAAAGGAUGAAAGAGCUUCCAGGGCUAAGGAAACAUCCAGUAGGCUAGGAAGAUCAUCAUAUUUUUCUUUCUUUUAUAUUUCCAGAAAAUGAGUCUAUAGUGUUGCAUAGCAUUGCCUCACACCCUCUGAGAGUAGAAGGUUCUGUUUGAUAUUGAACCUUUGUUCAUCUUCCUGUGAUAUAGACCCCCCCCCCAUACCUACCCUUGUUCUCUAACCAAGGGACAUACAGACUCACUGUCCUCACCCCUAGGGUACCACUUCAUCCCAGUGGAGAGUGCUCACUCAGCUCUCCUUUCUGCCCAGAUGUGAGGCAUUCAGUUCCCUUCCUGGCCACUUAGGAAGGAAGAAGCACAUAUUGAGAGUCACCCUGUGCAUAGAGCAAGGCUGGACAUUGUAGGGAAGAUAGCUGAAAUGUAAAGUGUUUUUCCUGCCAUCCAGAGGCUGCUCAUCAUCAGUCUAUAAAGUCUGCUUUUCAAACUUCAAAUCCCAACACUGUCACCCGCUCAACACCCUCCAACGCCCUGCCACAGCAUAGGGGUUUAAGCACCCGAGCUUUGACGUCAUAUGGACAAGUUGUGUGACCUUGGGCAAGUUUCUAAUCUUUUUGAGCCUUAGUGUUCUCGUCUAUGAAAUAUUAUUAACCUUGUGUGGUACUUUUGAGGAUUAAAAGAGUUAAAGUAUGUGUAGAAAUUCAGAUAAUUUUUGAGAGAAGUCACAGGAAGCAUAACUUAAAGUGGUAUAAGGAGAAAGGAGAAAUUUGUUGAUUUACAUAAUUGAAAAGUCCAGGGGUCAUGCCAAUUACAGGAGUAGCUUGAUCCAGGGGCUCAAAUGCUGUCACCAGAACUUGGUUUUUCUCCACCUCUAGCUCUACUUUCCUUUUUUGACUUUGUUCAAGGCUCCAUGUGGCGGCAAGAUGGCAGCCAAGAAGCACAGACCCUAUUCUCCUUUGUUCCAGUCCAACAUUCAAAUGAAAGUCCUGAGCCUGACACUCAUUGGUCUGAAGAUGGUCAAAUGCACAUCCUUGAAUUCAUUACUUGGCCAGAGAAUGGGACAUGCUGAUUGGCUUAAGCCUGGGUUCUGGGCCACCCCUGGAACUAAGGAGGGGUCUACUCAACUCAAACAUAAAAUAGUAUGUCCACUACAGUAGGUAAGUCACCUAGCACAGUGGCUAAAAUAUAAAAAGUCCUUAAUGAACGAUCACCAUCAUCACCAGGAUUCUAUUUCAGUCUGGAUAUCUCAAACAAACAUAACUCUAUUCUUAAACAAGAGCCCUCGUGCUGCUGAAUUGAGAGAAGUGUUAUCUGUAGCAGACAUUUGUCAUUCAUGGCUGCAAAAAUCUCUUUAACACUCUUUCUACAUUUUGAUAGUUCCUUAUGCUAAUGGGUCCUGUCUAGCCCAAAUAGAAUCCAAAAAAUUCGCUUUUCCCACACAACUCAUCCCGUCUUCACAACUACUAUUCAGUUUCUUUCAAUCCUGUGCACCCAUGAGAGAAUCUGAUUUGGAAGUGAGUUAUGGAAAAGAGAGGAAUUGGGGCUGGCCCCGUGGCCGAGUGUUUAAGUUCGUGUGCUUUGCUUCGGCAGCCCGGUGUUUGCAGGUUCGGAUCCUGGGUACGGAUGUAGCACUGCUCAUCAAGCCACGCUGAGGCAGCAUCCCACAUAGCAGAAAUAGAAUGACCCACAACUAGGAUAUACAACUAUGUACUGGGGCUUUGAGGAGGAUAAAAAAAGAGGAAGAUUGGCAACAGAUGUUAGCUCAGGGCCAAUCUUCCUCAGCAAAAAAAAAAAGUGAUGUACUUUAAAAAAAAAAAAAAAAAAGGAGGCAUGGAACAUCCAUUUUGCUGUUGUGGAUGGUGGGAGCCAUCCAGUUGAUUCUAGAGUCAGUUUGAGGCAACACUCUUAUCAGGUGAGUUCCCUAGGGUAGCUUUAGACAUUGCUCCAAGAUCAUUAGUCCAGAAAUUAUUCCUCUAGUUCUUCUGAAGAUUCUGUUGUGUUUACCACCUGUACCAAAUCCCUUCUUAGAUAAAGCAAGUAGAAUGAUAAUGUUGCCUGCAACUAAGAACACCAACCAAUAAGCCGCCCAAGAACUCCCCAGUCCUCCCAUGCGCAGGCUGGCAUCACGGUUCCCUGCGCGUGUGUCUCGUCUUCUCAUCAGACUGUUCUCCACGAUGCAAGCGGAUACCUUUUAAAAAAGUAAAUGCUCAGAAAAAUGCCAGUUCUGUGACAAAAUAAAUGAAUUCAUGACUGGCCAUUUGGGGAAUAUUAGAAGCUUAGAAUGUGAAGAGAUUAGGAAAUUAUUGAGCUCAUGGUACACACUGGACAGAUGAUAUUGAAGACCCAGAAGGUUAAUUGACUUGAACUGUCGUCUUUAUAUGUCUAGUUGAUAUUGUUUCCAUCAAAACUAUAAAAAAAAUUAUGGGUUUAACAUCAUAUCAAAUUUAUAAGGAUAAUAUUAAUUAUUUUUAAGGUUCUAGAAUUUCAUUUUGUUCACUAUUCUUUUUCAAAGAAAAAUUCUUUUUCAAUUGACAUAGACUUUGGACAUUUAUUUCUCUCGUCAUAGAGACAUGGAGCUUCAUGAAUCAGUGACAAUGCUAAAAAGGACCUACUCCGAAUUUGUCUUCUAGCGGCCACACCCACUACUGGCUUAUAUCAAGGUCCAGCGUUAGGACCAUGGACUCUGCAGCCAGAUGGCCUGAAUUUGAAUUAUAGCGCUGGCACUUUCUAGCUAUGUAACUAUAUGCAAGUCAUUUAUUCUCUUUAUGCCUCAACUUCCCAUCUGAUCAUUGGGCAUAGUGAUAGUACUUACCUGGUAAAGUUGCUGUGAGAACGAAAAGAGUUAAUAUUUGUAAAAUAUUUAGAACAGUGCUUCUUAGUACAUUGUAAGUCCUACAUGAUUGCUAAUUAAAAAAAUAUUUAAACAAAAAAACAUUUAAUUAAAAAAUGUUGAGCUUGCAGUUAACUAAAGCCUCACAUACGUGGCUGCCGAUUCAGUCUCCCUCAGUCUAAAAUUGUUCAAUUGAUUUUGUUUCCAGCCGAAAUGCAAGCCUUUGCACUUAACCCUGCUGAGUUUCCUUUUGGUGGCGCUGGCUCUGAGGCACUUUCAUUUCCCUUCACUUUCUGCGCUCACCUACCCGCCCCCCAGCCCCAGAGCAGAUGCUAAUGAGAGAGGUGGAAAAGGGAAGGGAGGCGUCCCCUGCAGACUUCGCACAGGGUCUGCAGUCCUCAAGAUCUGCCUGCAGCUUAGCUUUGGAGCCCAACCAAGUUUAAGUGGCUCUAAUUACUUGAAAAUGAGGCAUACAGUGAAAAUCUGACGAGCCCAUAAACUUAAUAGCUGAUCUCCAGGCAGCACUGCUACCAAACUGAUUUUUAACUGCCAUCAAAAUAAGCCCAGGAGGUUGUUAGCCAAAGCACCCCAGUAAAUGUCAUGAGGUGCAGGACAAUGGGGACAGUUGUGACUCUUACAAAACUGCCAUGUCCACAGGUGGAAUGAAGUGUCUGCCCUAUUAAGGAAUAGAGACACAAUUCAGGGAAGCAAGCCAUCCAAAUGCACCGCUUGAAUCCUGUUGGGCUGUUCUGAUGUAGAAGAAGAUAAGAAAAAGAAUUAACUGGGGAGACUUAAGAUGCGGAACUACAAAAAUAACCUUGUGUCCCUGACAUCUGUGUUUAUAAAGGCACGAUGUUAAACAGCAGAGAUUUUCCCUGUGGCUAGCCAAUAUCAAGAUGGUGCCUUGCGUGUUAUGUUUUUCUGUAGCCCUCAUCGGACGCCCUUCUCUUACUCUCCCUUUUCUUCCAGCUUUUGUUUUCGUCUCUCCAUAAAGAGUUGGCAGAAACGUAGCUGGGCAAUUUCAGAAACAUGGCUUAUAACCAACCUGCUCCACUAUUUUGCUACAAAAAGUGAGCCUGUGCUAACUGUUCUGUAAUGAAGUACUUGGUCCACGCCCCGCUUCUCGCCCAGGUGGUGAUUUUCCCCAUCAACAACCCCAGAGCAGGUUAGAAUCAAAGUGACACAUGCAGGAGCCAGAUGUUUGGAGAGUAAGAAGGGGAGGUAAGUUCACACAAUUGUUCUGCCUUCUUGCUUUCCGCUGAGGUUCUUUCCUGUGGGCUGUAGGACGCAUUAACAGGCUCUGGGCAUGGAUACGGACAGCCCCAGCCCGGCACAGCAGCCAGAGCCUGCUAACAGGCUGCCUUCCUUUUCCGGUGCAGCUGGUGUUUGCAGAAGGACAUGAUUUGAAAGUUGAUUUAUUUACCCUGUCCUUUUUUUUUUUUUAAUGAAUGGACAUAGAUGUCUGUUUGUUGAAACAAUUAAUAAAGUCUAGUGGUAUCAUUACAAUUUAAGAGAAAAACAUCCUUGGCUUGCAGGUGGAAAUCGAAGGACUGACUUUUGGAAUGUUCUGGAAUGUAACUCAGAGCAAGCUGAGAGGACAUUUUUUAGUCUUGUUUUUAAGAAAACAGCUGAUCACUUUCGCUGGUGGAAGCCCACGGGCUCCAGUUCAUGCCCCUUCAUUUUGUCUCUGUCGUCUGUGGAGACUUUGAAGAUGUUUACACAGCACCUCAACUAUAGAGAGGACGAGAACGUCCUUCAUCUUGGGCAGCUCCUCCUUCCAAGUCUUUUCAAAAAGUCAAGGAAUCUGAGACCUAAGAGGUAUAAACUGACUGGAGUGAAAGGAGGGGGUAAGUCAGAGAAGACACACCUUCUUCCUUUAAAAAAGGCAGUCAGGGGCCCGCCCGGUGGUGCAGUAGUUAAGUGCGCACACUCCAUUUCGGCAGCCCGGGGUUUGCUGGUUCGGAUCCCAGGUGAGGACAUGGCACCAUUUGGCAUGCCGUGCUGUGGUAGCCAUCCCACAUAUAAAGUAGAGGAAGAUGGGCAUGGAUGUUAGCUCAGGCCAGUCUUCCUCAGCAAAAAGAGAAGGAUUGGCAGCAGAUGUUAGCUCAGGGCUAAUCUUCCUCAAAAAAAAAAAAAUGCAUUCGUUAGUACUUUGGAUAGUCAUAUGACCACACACACCAAUUUAGAAAGCUUUAAAGGAGUAUUCAUUGAAAAAUAAUUCUCUCUUGCACUCCUGCCCCCCAUCAGCCACCAAGUUCCCUUACCACAGGUAACCAGUAUUACCAUUUCUAGGUGUCCAGAGACAUCCUAUGUAGGUAUAAACAUUUAUAUGUGUCUGUUUCCUAAAUUCACAAAUGAUAAUGUACAAUACACAUUGUUGUACACUCAGCAUUUUUCACUUAACAAUACAUCAGACAGAGGUUGAUUUUUUUUUUUCUGCCCAAAAUGCUAUCAGAAGGGAGAAGUGAUUCUUCAGUUCAAUGAUCUGCGUCUGGUUCUGGCUUAUUGUACUGACAGCAAACAAGAUGUCGAGUUGAACUCUACCUCAGCCUCAGCAGGUGCAGCCCAGGGCCAGAGGCAUGGCAAGUGCAUAACAAAAAGACCCCCUUCCAUGGGACAGACACAGCUCUGCACAAAAGCAUGUGGCUUGGCACCUUGGAGAGCAAAAGGAGAGCCACCCCCUCAGCCAGCAGAUUGUGCAGUGUGGGACCUGCACGCCAUAUGCAGCACUCCUGAAAGUGAGAGGCGGCUGGGAGUCUCAUCGAGUGUUGGGUUCUGGUUCAUUGGCACCACUGCUAUAAGCAAUUUCCUCAGAGCUUUGAUUCACAGCUUCCUUUCUGCUUUCCAAGGGCUGGAUUAGAAAGUGGGAGCUUUGAGAACACCGUGGCACCAAUCUCCCAGAACCCCUGCAGCUUUUCAUCUCGGAAUCCAGACCCAGGUGAUCUGGCAGCUUCCAGGCAGCUCUCAAGCCUGGAAGCUGGGAUCAGAGAGAAAUGUACAGACUUACACAACUUAAUUUCUCUCAUCCUGACUGACAGGAUCAGGACAGGAGGGAAGAGGAGAGAAAUCUAAAGCAGCUUUACAGGCGCUGACAUUAUAAGCUUGUGGAUAGAUAAGCAGCUCAUGGGGAGUGGGGGUGCGAGGCAGCAGACAUGGAGUGAGAGAUUGAGAGAGGCACCCCCAGGGUGAGAUGGGGGUGGGAGAGCCUUAUGUCUACAUACACAUAACCACCAAUGUGAGAAAAGAUGUGGAAUUCAGUCCCGAAUGGCUUAUUUGGAAAACUAGUUAGGAAGUGGUUAACAAAUAAUGAUUCCACUGAACAGAAUAUUAAUUUCCCCCCAAAAGUUAUUUAGAACCUAAGCAUAGAAGGGAGAGGAAGAAGGAGAGAGAGGCAGACAGAGAGACAGAGACAGAGGAAGAAGGAGGGAGAGAGAGACAGAGACAGAGAGACCAAGAAAGAGACAGAGAGGAGAAAGGAUAGGAACGGAGUAGGAGGAAGACAGGAGCUAGGUCUGCAUUGACCCCAGUGCCGAGCACAGAGCCUGGCAUGGAGGAGACGCUCACUACUACAAGAGUGUGCGAAUGAGAGAGAAGAGAUGAGAGAUUGCAGUAUUGACCUCGAUGAUUUUACUCAAAGCACUGCCCAGCAACUAGACUGGAACAGCUCAAGUGCCCACCAUCUUGUCAAAUGUCUCAUUUGGAGAACCACCACAUGCUCUUUCUAGCAUAACUCCUCCAUCCUUUCCUGACUCCCUUCAUCAUCCUUCUAGAUCUUGUUCUUUUCUCCCUCUUCCUCUCCUGCAGGCAGAGCAUAGGAAAGCAUCUCUUGCUCACUGGCUUGACGGCGCUCUCUCUCUCUUUGGUUUUCCUGUUUUCUUGCUUGUAAGAGUCUGUUAGACACUUCCUCUGAGGUUUAUUUGCAGUCUGACCCAUGACUCUUUGAAAUAUUCUCUCUCAUGGUCUCUCACUCUAGUGACACCACGAGGCCCCCCCAUAGCAAGGCAUGGGGAGCAACAGCUCAUCCGGAGGUCUUAGCUGCCAGGCUGUGCUCCCCAUGCUGUCAAGGUGGAGGCUCCUGAAGAAGGGCAGAAGCACUGAAGGCUGCUCCCUGAGUGAACUCUCCUUGGACACCGGCCAGAAUCAAAACUUGGCUUCCUCUCACCCUUUAAAAUAUGGUUGGGCUCAAUGAGGUCUUACAAGGUUGUCUGGGCUUCCAUGCUCAGGAAUGAGUCCUGCCAUUGGGCCACCCAGCCUCGUCCCUGGACCUUUCCAGAUCCAUUCAGAACCCAGCUGCCAGUGUGGAGACUCAGCAAUCUAUCUGGUGGCGGCAUGUUUAUUUCGAAAACAGUCAUGAGACUUGAUUUGAUGUAGUGAAAGAAAUGAGCGCUUGCUGAAUAUGGCCCAGUUGUGACUGCAUUAAUUCAUGGAGAUUAGCAGCUGACACUGGCUGGAAGGUAUGAUCAGGACAUUUCAGUAAGUUUGGCUGAAGAGAAUGGCCUUUCCACGGCUGCUGCACCUCCCUUCCCCCACACCAAAGCUCCCAGGAAGACUUCAUAUCUGGAAUGACUUUCUCAACAAGGGCCCACAGUGUUAUUUUAAUGCUCGCUGGAAAUGGACAAACGGAAGCAUGGUUGGGAAAUGCCCCCAAAGUCAGUCAUCAAACUGAUGCCCUUUGAGACCUGCUUUCUCCCAAGCCCACGUUCUAACCAUUGAAUGACUCUUCAAAGAUGGAAGAAAUUCUAACACGCUACCAGGGAAAUACAGCAAGACAUUUUCUUGUGGAUCAUCCAACUUGGUAAGUGAAUUGACACCUUGUGUAAGCAGUUAUGUAUGUUCUCAGCUGCAAGGAACAAUGGCUUAAACAAAUAAAGGAUGAUUUUCUCACAGUUAUGCGUUGAACUGUGUCCCCCGACCCCCAAAAUCUUAUGUUGAAGCCCUAACCCCUAAUAUCUCAGAAUGCGGCUGCAUUUGGAGAUAGGGCCUUUAAAGAGGUGAUUAAAUGAAAAUGAAGCCCUUACUCUGGGCCCUUGUGUUAGUCAGG
rnacentral:lncRNA from 1 species